rnacentral:rRNA from 1 species
AACGAACGCUGGCGGCAUGCCUAACACAUGCAAGUCGAACGAGACCUUCGGGUCUAGUGGCGCACGGGUGCGUAACGCGUGGGAAUCUGCCCUGGGGUGCGGAAUAACUCGGAGAAAUCCGUGCUAAUACCGCAUAAUGUCUUCGGACCAAAGAUUUAUCGCCCUGGGAUGAGCCCGCGUAAGAUUAGCUAGUUGGUGGGGUAAAGGCCUACCAAGGCGACGAUCUUUAGCUGGUCUGAGAGGAUGAUCAGCCACACUGGGACUGAGACACGGCCCAGACUCCUACGGGAGGCAGCAGUGGGGAAUAUUGGACAAUGGGCGAAAGCCUGAUCCAGCAAUGCCGCGUGAGUGAUGAAGGCCCUAGGGUUGUAAAGCUCUUUUACCCGGGAUGAUAAUGACAGUACCGGGAGAAUAAGCUCCGGCUAACUCCGUGCCAGCAGCCGCGGUAAUAC